rnacentral:lncRNA from 1 species
CGGCUGCAGUUCCUGAGGGGUCCUGACCUGUUCCUCUGGCAGAGCUUCCUCCAGGAGCCUGGACUGGGAAGGAGCAGUGCCACUCCGCACAUACACAGCCUUGUGAACUCCCAGCUCCAUCACAGCAUCACCCUGAGCCCGUGUCCUGCCCUGCUGCCCAUCCCAGGCACAGCACAGCUGGUGGCAGGGCUGGGGAGUCCCCUCAGUGUCCCCCAGACCCCAUGCCUUUUCCCAUCCCCACACAUCCCAGGUACACCACCCCACACCCUGGGUACUGCACAGCUGGCACCAGCACAGCCACCACGGCAUCCCACGGAGCAGUGAACUGUCCCCUCUGCCCAGGGUCCCCAUCCUCAGGAGGGGCUCAGCCCUUGUGUGUCCCGUGUACCCCCAACCCCUCUCUGCCCUGGCACCUCACUGGGAGCUGGUGGGUUCACCGGGGCCACGGGUGAUGUCAGGGCUGCAGGUGAUGUCAGGGCUGCGCACACAUCAGGUGCUUCCACGUCUCAACUUUGCUAAAGUCCAAGCCCGGGCUGUGUCACAGCCUGCGUGGAAGCCACGGGGGUGCUCAGGCUGCAUAAAUAGGGCGGGGAGCUGCCGGCUCGGCAGGUACCACGGCCGUGGCAGCACAGGUGAGCAGCUGCAAGGGCUGGGGAGAGCCAGUGCCUCCAUGGCCUGUGGUGGGGCAGGUGGCAGGGGGCUGGGGGGCUCCCGGCCUCUGGGGCUCCCUUCACCUCCUCUCUGUGCUCCCGCAGGAGUCCCCAGUGCUCAGGAUGGCACCCAAGGUGGCAGCCCUUGUCCUGGUGCUCCUUGCAGUCUCAGGGGCACGGGCUGAUGUGAACCCCGAUGAGGUGGCCAGUGUGAUCUGGAAGUACUUCACGGAGCUGGGCAGCAAUGCCAAGGAGACGGUGGGCCAGCUGCAGCAGACUGAGCUCACCAAGCAGAUCAAGUGAGCUGAGCCAUGGGCUGAGGCUUGUGGGGGCUCAGGGGGCUCGGGGGGUGCCGGGGGCACACGGGCACUGACCUGUCCCUUCUCCCCAGCACCCUCCUGAAGACCAACCUGCAGAGUGUCAGCGCCUACGCCGAGGACCUGCAGGAGAAGCUGGUGCCCUUUGCCACCGAGCUGCAGGCGCGGCUGACGCAGGACUCGCAGCGGCUGAAGGAGCAGAUCCGGAGGGAGCUGGCAGAGCUGCAGGCCAAGCUGGCGCCCUACGCCGACGAGGUGCACC